UUUCCUUUCUUAAUUCUGAAGGUUUGGGGUAAGAAAGAGUUGGGAUUCCAGUGUUAUUUCCUAUAGAAAUUCCUGUCUUGUUCUUUCCUUUGUGGUGGUAUAUUGUACUCUAGUGUAAUAGAGGAAUGCAGAUUCAAGGAGAACUUGAUCUGUAUACCUUCUUUAGAAUUGGUUUAAGCCUUUGAGACACAUUCUUGCCUCGAAGACAAGGAGUUAGAAGACCCAAAUUUAGGUUUCAAAGGAUGAGUGAGUGCAUAUUGGAGUUUAGAAGAAAUGUUUGGGUGAAGAAGUUUUCAAGAACAGAGUCAGCAAAUCGAAUACCGUGCAUUCCACAAGAAGAGUUGGAUUCGAAGGCUAAAAUAAGAGAAGCUUUGGAUAAGCAUGGGUGUAACAAGGUUUGAGAAAUCAGUUUGAUUCAGUAUAUUAGUAACGUCAGAGGUUAGAAGAAAGGAAGUAAAAGAAAAAGAGUUGAGAAGUUGUGAAAGAUAUAGAACAAAUUUAAGGAGCGUGUAUAGAAAGUCGAAAUUUUCGAAUUGAGGGAAUGUGAAGUCUUUGAAGGGAAUUAAAGUAUCAUUUAGGUUUGAGUUAAGUGAUAAUUAGAAGAAGAUGGAUAGGCAUUAUCAACAAGUAUUUGCCAUACUCAAGUUUAGAUUGGUGUUUCAAGAUUUGUGGAUAGUUUAGAAUAAAGGUUUAAUCAUUGAUUGAGAUGAGAGAUUUCAAGUGUUGAAGGAAGGAGUACAUCAGAAUGUGAGUUUGGCAGGAAAGUAUAAGGUUAAAGAACUAAGAGCAUAGUGAAUGAGAAAAGGAGAAGAAAGGUUUUAGAAUAAAUGACAGAGGGUGGUUACAGUAUAAGUUGUGUAAGAGGGCAUCGCGAAUGAUUAGAGUCUGGGUUGGUUGAUACGUUCAAAUUUAUGAAGCAGCAGGUUGUGGUAAGGUCAAUUUUCACCGGAUAUAGUUUUAUGAUGAUGUUCAGUGGUCGACUAAGUUUAAUAAAAAAAGAAAUGGAUGUUUAAUUAUGGGUUACAAGAGGCAGUGCAUUGGUAAAUUUCAGAUAAGGUCAGAGGGUCGACGUUGUGGGCUAUGGGUACUCGGAGUUCAUAGGAUUAAAGGUGGGAUUGGUAUUUUGAUGAUUCUGAAUUGAGGAAGGUAAUUUUGGGACAAGGUUGUAAACUGCGUUGGCAACGAUAGGUACAUGAGGAAUUCUAAGUGCAUAUAGUAUGUGGGGGAGUCGCUAUAAGAGCUCAUGUUUGAGGUUUAUAGGGAGUAAUUUCUUGGCAAGGAAGGAAAUCGAGGAUGAUACAUCAAGUGUAGUUGAGCCAAAGAUGGAAGCAAGUGUUAUGGGAAUUCAGGAUGUCUGAUGAACGCAAGUGAAGAAGAUGUGAUGUCAUUCUUUUCAGGUUUGAGGUGUGAUAACAAGAUAGGUUUGUUUGUCUUCAAAUUGUUUCGGAUGGUUAUAGCAUUCUAAAGAAGUACUGUGUUUUGAGAAGAGGAAACCUGGUUAUGCAUUAGAAGUGGUCAAGUUAUAAAGGAUAAGACGAAGGGUUGUAAGAGUCAGAAUAUGUUAGCAAGAAUACGUGGAGAAGAGAAUAUAGAUCUUUAUGGUGUAACAAUUUUGGGUUGGUGUUCUAAAACAGGCAUGUGAUUUUAUAACUCAGAGAAGUGGUGGAUUUGGCUAGAGCGGUAGUGCUUAGACUCAGUGUAAUGGCAGGAGAACUACAAAGGUUGAAGAAUCAUAGGAGGAAAGUAGAAGGCCAGUUGAAAUGUUCUAGUUAAGUCUUACCAAUCAGAAGUGAGUUCAAGCAUGUAUGCUUUUCGAAGAGUAGAAAUAAUGUUGAGGAAAUGGAAUGACGAGAUUAUCGUGGAAGAAAGGACUUACAGGGUGUUGCAAAGUCAUGGAAAGUUUAAAGAAGGCUCUUCAAGGAUGAUCAUCUUUGGAUUGCAAUUGUUGUGAAGGAAGUGUCUUUUCGAAAAACUAGUGAGCAAGGAAGUUUGAGGAUCAGAGUAGCGCAGCGGAUGUUAGUGGGCUUAUUCUUAUCAGUACCAAGUGUAUGUGAAGCAUUUUUCAAGGUCAGGUGUCGGCGGUUAUGUGGAAUGAGCCUCUUUAAAAACAACAAGGACGUCACUACCUAGGGCAUCACUUAGGAUUGUUUGGUGAUCUGCAAGAGUUAGAAGUGAGUUUAGGUGUGAGGGAGAUAAGUAUAAAGAAAAGGAGACAAGUGAGACUUUAUUUUCAAGAUGUCGUGUCGACCUGAAAGUGGGAGAAUAAAUGGACGUUGAGCAGGAAGAGUGGACCAGUGGACGAAGGAGAUGAUUUGAGCUACGAUUUUGAGUUAUAAUGGCAAUCUACAGGUAAGGAAAUGUUAACAGAUGAUUUAAACAAAGAGAAGAUUCAUGUUCUUGGUUUGAUAAGAAUUGAAUAAGAGUUGGUUGAAGAAUAUAAAGAUUGGGGUCUCUAGUGAAGCAGUAAAGUAGUUUCAGUAGUACAAUUGAAUAUUAUAACUAAUGGGUUUCUCAAAAUGGUUGAGAAAGCGCCAUUUGGACAAUCCUAGUUUGAGAUGUAUCAAAAGUUGGCUUGAUACUGAUCAAGCUAGUGAUCUCGAGUCGAAG
rnacentral:lncRNA from 1 species